rnacentral:rRNA from 1 species
UACGAAGGGGGCUAGCGUUGCUCGGAAUCACUGGGCGUAAAGCGCACGUAGGCGGCUUCUUAAGUCAGGGGUGAAAUCCUGGAGCUCAACUCCAGAACUGCCUUUGAUACUGGGAGGCUCGAGUCCGGAAGAGGUGAGUGGAGCUGCGAGUGUAGAGGUGAAAUUCGUAGAUAUUCGCAAGAACACCAGUGGCGAAGGCGGCUCACUGGUCCGGUACUGACGCUGAGGUGCGAAAGCGUGGGGAGCAAACAGG